UAACACGUGGGUAACCUGCCCAUCAGAGGGGGAUAACAUUCGGAAACGGAUGCUAAAACCGCAUAGGUCCUUUAACCGCAUGGUUGAGGAGGAAAAGAGGCGCAAGCUUCUGCUGAUGGAUGGACCCGCGGUGCAUUAGCUAGUUGGUGAGGUAACGGCUCACCAAGGCCGUGAUGCAUAGCCGACCUGAGAGGGUGAUCGGCCACAUUGGGACUGAGACACGGCCCAA
rnacentral:rRNA from 1 species